rnacentral:rRNA from 1 species
GACGAACGCUGGCGGCGUGCCUAAUACAUGCAAGUAGAACGAGUUGCGAACGGGUGAGUAACGCGUGGUAACCCGCCCCAUAGCGGGGGAUAACUAUCGGAAACGAUAGGCAAAACCGCAUAGCUAAGGAUGGACCUGCUUUGCAUUAGCUAGUUGGGGGGGUAAAGGCUCACCAAGGCCACGAUACAUAGCCGGCCUGAGAGGGUGAUCGGCCACACUGGAACUGAGACACGGUCCAGACUCCUACGGGAGGCAGCAGUGGGGAAUAUUGCACAAUGGGCGCAAGCCUGAUGCAGCCAUGCCGCGUGUAUGAAGAAGGCCUUCGGGUUGUAAAGUACUUUCAGCGGGGAGGCGUUACCCGCAGAAGAAGCACCGGCUAACUCCGUGCCAGCAGCCGCGGUAAUAC